CCUACGGGAGGCAGCAGUGAGGAAUAUUGGUCAAUGGCCGUAAGGCUGAACCAGCCAAGUAGCGUGAGGGAAGACUGCCCUAUGGGUUGUAAACCUCUUUUAUGCGGGGAUAAAGGUGUCCACGUGUGGAUGUUUGCAGGUACCGCAUGAAUAAGGACCGGCUAAUUCCGUGCCAGCAGCCGCGGUAAUACGGAAGGUCCGGGCGUUAUCCGGAUUUAUUGGGUUUAAAGGGAGCGUAGGCCGGUCUUUAGGCGUGCCGGGAAAUUUUGUGGCUCAACCAUGAGAGUGCGGCGCGAACUGGAGACCUUGAGUGCGCGGAAGGCAGGCGGAAUUCGUGGUGUAGCGGUGAAAUGCUUAGAUAUCACGAAGAACCCAGAUUGCGAAGGUAGCCUGCCGCAGCGUUACUGACGCUGAAGCUCGAAAGCGCGGGUAUCGAACAGGAUUAGAUACCCUUGUAGUC
rnacentral:rRNA from 1 species